rnacentral:misc_RNA from 1 species
GUGUUUCAAAGACUUUCCCCCCUUCAGAAGGGGGUUCUCAAAAUACACACUAGAGACAAGGGCGUUCGUUAACGGGAGGACUCUCUCUCUCUCUCGAGUCCCCCCAAAGUGCACAGAGGUGUGGGUCAGGGAGAAUCUCCCCCCUUCAAAUAGAACCGGCAAUGAUCCUUCCGCAGGUUCACCUACGGAAA